GUAGUCGGAUUUGCAUCAAUCCACAUGUGUUGGUGUGGAUUGGAGUGGAACUUGAACUAAAUUUCAUCCCAAUCCACUCCAACACAUGUAGAUUAGGAUGAAUCCGACA
rfam:Sorghum bicolor cultivar BTx623 chromosome 6, whole genome shotgun sequence.